CUGGGGCAAGGUGGCUGACCUGGCCAUCUGCAAUGACCAGCUGGUGAGGGCUAACUCACCCACCACCUACCCUCCCCCUCAUGCUCCCACCAAAAGAGCCUCCCAGGGUCUGGGCCCACUCCAUACCAACUCUACCAUGUCCUGCAGAUAGGUGUGGCUUUCUCCCAGAGUAAUGUCUCCUCUUAUGUGGUGGACCUGACAAGAGUCACCAGGACAGGAACUGUGACCCAGGACCCUGUGCAAGCUAGCCAGCCUCAGACACAACAGACCCCUAACCCUGGUGUCUCCCUUCGCCGCAUCUACGAGCGGCCCAGCACAACCUGCAGCAAGCCUCAGAGGUGGGUGCUGAUGGCCCCGGCAGGAUGUGU
rnacentral:lncRNA from 1 species